UACGUAGGGCGCAAGCGUUAUCCGGAAUUAUUGGGCGUACAGAGCUCGUAGGCGGUUUGUCGCGUCUGCCGUGAAAAGUCCGGGGCUCAACUCCGGAUCUGCGGUGGGUACGGGCAGACUAGAGUGAUGUAGGGGAGACUGGAAUUCCUGGUGUAGCGGUGAAAUGCGCAGAUAUCAGGAGGAACACCGAUGGCGAAGGCAGGUCACUGGGCCGCAACUGACGCUGAGGAGCGAAAGCAUGGGGAGCGAACAGG
rnacentral:rRNA from 1 species